CUACGAGAUGCAGCAGUGAGGAAUAUUGCACAAUGGGGGGAACCCUGAUGCAGCAACGCCGCGUGGAGGAUGACGCAUUUCGGUGUGUAAACUCCUUUUAUAUGUCAAGAAAAUGACGGUAGCAUAUGAAUAAGCACCGGCUAACUCCGUGCCAGCAGCCGCGGUAAUACGGAGGGUGCAAGCGUUACUCGGAAUCACUGGGCGUAAAGGACGCGUAGGCGGGUUGGAAAGUCAGGUGUGAAAUCCUACAGCUUAACUGUAGAACUGCACUUGAAACUUCUAAUCUAGAGUAUGGGAGGGGGAGAUGGAAUUAGUGGUGUAGGGGUAAAAUCCGUAGAUAUCACUAGGAAUACCUAAAGCGAAGGCGAUCUCCUGGAACAUUACUGACGCUAAGGCGUAAAAGCGUGGGGAGCAAACAGGAUUAGAUACCCCGGUAGUC
rnacentral:rRNA from 1 species